rnacentral:tRNA from 9 species
GGGGCCGUAGCUCAGUUGGAAGAGCGCCUGCAUGGCAUGCAGGAGGUCGUCGGUUCGAUCCCGAUCGGCUCCACCA